rnacentral:tRNA from 1 species
UCCUGGUGGCUCAUCUGGUAAAGGAUCUGUCUGAAGGGCAGGAGACCCAGGUUCAAUCCCUGGAUCAGGAA